GUUGUCAUUUCUGUGUGAUGUCAGUUUUUUUCUUUUUUUGUAUUUCCUGUCUUCAAUUGCUCAACUUCUUCUCUGUUGCAAAGGCUGACCGCGACACCAUGUACCUUCUGCUCUGUCUCCUGUGCCUUUGUCUUCAUACCUACAGCUUCACGGUGACAUCUCACGGUGGUGACACGGUGUCCCUGAACUGCUCGUACCCUAAUGGCUCAUCGAUGCUCUGGUACAGACGACUCCCUGACCAGCCUCCUCAGCCUCUGCUGCAGACGUUCAGCCCUAAAUCUUCAAGCUGCACUUUCUACAUUGAGUCGGGAGGACACUUCACUGUGAAGGAAAAUCACACUUUGGUCAUCCAUAAUGUAUCAAGUCAUGACACGGCAACUUAUUACUGUGCAAGGCUGGAAACAGACGUGUGCCGCUUCGCUGAAGGGAUCGACCUCAGAGUGGACGGCAUCCCAGUGGGGCAAGGUCCUUAG